AUGUCUAGGAUUAUCGCGCAUCCAUUCUCUCGCACGAUACCCACCGCGCUCUCAUGCAGAGUUGCACACCAUCUCCCGGUUACAAACUACGCUCGUAUUCGGGCGCCCGAUUUCAGAGGGAGGGAGCGAGGAGAGAGGAUGAGGGCGGCGCAUGCGCGCGCUCUCCUCGUCGUCUUGGCCACCACCUGCCUCUCCGUCUCCAUCGCCACCGACACCAUCGACCAGGCCGCGUCCAUCACCGGCAACCAGACGCUCGUCUCGGCCGGUGGAAUCUUCAGGCUCGGCUUCUACAACCCGCCCGGAAGCUCCGAUGCCAGAGCCUACCUCGGCAUUUGGUACGCGGGCAUCCCGGUACAGACCGUCGUGUGGGUCGCCAACCGCCAGAACCCGGUCGUCAGCUCCCCAGGCGUCCUCAAGUUCUCCCCCGACGGCCGCCUCGUCAUCGUCGACGGCCUGAACGCCACCGUCUGGUCCUCCGCGGCGCCCACCAGAAACAUAACCACCAAGGCCGCCGCUCAGCUUCUCGACGACGGCAACUUCGUCCUGAGCUCUGACGGGAGUGGGUCGAGCCAGAGCGUGGCGUGGCAGAGCUUCGACUACCCAACGGACACGAUGCUCCCCGGCAUGAAGCUCGGGGUGGACCUCAGGAACGGCAUCGCCAGAAACAUCACGUCGUGUAGAAGCCCGACCGACCCCUCGCCGGGGGCCUACACGUUCAAGCUAGUCAUGGGCGGACUGCCCGAGUUCUUCCUUUUCCGCGGCCCGGAGAGGAUCUACGCGAGCGGGCCGUGGAACGGCGUGGUGCUCACCGGCGUGCAGAACCUCAACGCCGAGGGCUACACGUUCAUGGUCGUGUCCAACGCCGACGAGACGUACUACGCCUACUACGUCAGCGACCCGUCGGCGCUGUCGCGGCUGAUCCUGGACGGCGCGACGGGGCAGCUGCAGAGCUACGUGUGGGGCAAUGGCGCGUGGAGCAGCUACUGGUACCACCCGAGCGACCCGUGCGACAGCUACUACAAGUGCGGGGCGUUCGGUUUCGGCGUGUGCGAGGUUGGCCAGCCCCCCAAGUGUAGCUGCCUGCCGGGGUUCAGGCCGCGGUCGCCGGAGCAGUGGGAGCAGAGGGGCUGGUCCGGUGGCUGCACCAGGAGCGCCAACCUGAGCUGCGGGGCUGGAGACGGCUUCUGGCCGGUGAACCGGAUGAAGCUGCCGGAGGCGACGGAAGCGACGGUGCGCCCCGACAUGACUCUGGCCGAGUGCAGGCAGCUGUGCCUGGGUAACUGCAGCUGCAGGGCGUACGCCGCCGCCAACAUUAGCGGGGGAGUCAGCCACGGGUGCGUCAUUUGGGGCGUGGACCUGCUUGACAUGAGGCAGUACCCGGUGGUCGUGCAGGAUGUAUAUAUCCGGCUCGCACGUUCCGAGAUCGACGCCUUGAACGCCGAAGCUAACCGUCAGCGUCCAAACAGGAGCGUGGUGAUCCCUGUCGUCACAACUAUUUUCGGCGUGCUUCUCGUGGUGGCGGUUGCCUGCUGCUAUUUCUUGAGAACCAAGGCGGUCACAAAGCGUCAGGCCGGAAUGCCACCAAGGACAAGGGGUGACGUGUUUCCCCUAGGGAGCAGGAAAAAUUCAGCGCUGAGGACAAAACAGGAUCGACAGAUCAAUGAGAGCAGGAUGAGCAGUGAAAAAGAUCUUGAACUUCCGUUGUUCGAUCUAGAAGUUAUUCUAGCUGCAACAGACAACUUCUCUGCGGAUAGUAAGAUAGGACAAGGCGGAUUUGGUCCCGUUUAUAUGGCAAAACUCGAAGAUGGACAAGAAGUAGCUGUAAAAAGGUUAUCCAAGAAAUCAGUACAGGGGGUUGUGGAAUUCAAGAACGAGGUAAAACUGAUCGCAAAGCUUCAGCAUAGGAACCUCGUGAGGCUGCUAGGCUGCUGCAUCGACGACCAAGAGAGAAUGCUAGUGUACGAGUUCAUGCACAACAACAGCUUAGACACGUUCAUAUUUGAUGAAGGAAAGCGCAAGUUACUAGGAUGGAAGAACCGAUUUGAGAUCAUUCUGGGGAUUGCACGGGGUUUGCUAUACCUCCAUGAGGAUUCAAGGGUCAGGAUCAUCCAUAGGGAUUUAAAGGCAAGCAAUGUGUUAUUAGACAAGAACAUGAUUCCCAAAAUCUCAGACUUUGGUAUUGCAAGAAUGUUUGGAGGUGAUCAGACAACUGCAUAUACCACCAAGGUCAUCGGUACAUAUGAUAUGGUGAUCUUCAGCGGCUACAUGUCUCCAGAAUAUGCAAUGGAUGGCGUGUUCUCUAUGAAAUCCGAUAUCUAUAGCUUUGGUGUACUGGUGCUAGAGAUCAUCACCGGCAAGAAGAAUCGAGGAUUUUACGACGAUGAGCAUGAUCUGAGCCUCCUUGGUUAUUCAUGGAAGUUGUGGAAAGAAGGUCGGAGUGCGGAUUUACUGGAUGAAGCAAUGGGCGGCUCCAUUGACUACAAUGUGGUGCUCAGAUGCAUACAGGUUGCUCUCCUUUGUGUUGAAGUGCAUCCUAAGAACAGGCCACUGAUGUCUUUAGUUGUCAUGAUGCUAAGCAGUGAGAAUGCAACAUUGCCAGAGCCAAAUGAACCUGGGGUAAAUAUUGGGAAGAGCACGGACACGGAUUAUUCUCAAACCCUCACUGGAACCGGUUUUACAGGGGAUGCAAUGAAUGAUAGGUAG
rnacentral:rRNA from 1 species